AUUUUAACAAAAGGAGAUGUGAAUAAAGAUGCACUCUUGAACUUCGCAUAAUUUCAGCCAGUAGUUUUGAAAGUAGUGGUCGCGAGCCAAAACUGGUCCCCAUUUUUUGUGUACUAUGUCAUCCAUUUUGCGUGAUAUGCUACAAAUUUUUGCAAUUCGUAUAUCAUACAAAUUUUGCAAUUCGUGUGAUAUGUUACAAAUACAAUUUGUGCAAUGUGUUACAAAUUUGUUGUGCUUUAUAUCCCAGAGUGCAUCUUUAUUGUCUUAUUAAGACAUCAUAUUAUUCAAUCUACUAAAUGACUAAAGUAAUUACAGGGGAAGACUAUGCUUUUCAGCAUCAGACCAUAAGUGUGUGUGAAUCACUGCUUUUCUUUGUGUAAUAGGUCUUCAACUAACUAAGGUUUUCCUGCCAUGCUGCCACAGCAACCAGCAUCCUCGUUACCAUGGAGACACCAUCUCUUGUUCUCUGUAUUUUAGAUGGGCGUCAUUGCCAUGUAUGUGUGUGUGUGUUUGUCUGUAAAGGAGGGUGUGCGUACAUGUCUCUGCAUGCUUUCCUCCCAAUCAUAUUUCUAUUUCAGAAUGACGUCACAGAGAUCUGCUGAAAGAACCAGUUCAAAGAUAUAGACCAUUGUUGAAUAAAUAAACGCUCUCUUUAUGUUAAACACUUCACAAUGUUAAUUUGUGGUGGUGACACAAUGGAGCUAUGCAAAGAAGAACGUGAAUGCCAUGUCUCAUUUCAGAGAAAGUGACAUUAGAAGCUGGCACAGUCUAUCAGUCCCUGCCACUGCAGCUGUAUGGCAGUCUAUUCUUCAAAUGUGCUCCAGACUAAAAGACAGCUGAUGAGCACUGGAAGGGCUGGAAACUGUAGAUUUUGUUUUUUUAUAGCCCCCAUGUUUGAGGGGUUCAGUAUUUCAUGACUAUUACCUUGUUCAUGAUUCAGCCAAGGUUUUUUUGUCCAUUUAGCUCCAAGCUACAUCUCAAAUCUGCUCAGCCUCAGUGCCAAGUAAGUGUUAUUACGACUACCUUCAGUCGAGUAAAGAACGGACAUGCCAGUAAACACUUUGAGAACAAUAUGGAAAGUAGAACUUUUGAAGUUUGAGAUUUACAAUAGCCAAGUUUGCGUGGCUGAUUUUCAGUUGGAGUUGGAGCUCUCCGUGUCCGGGGAAAGAGUGUGGCAGCAUCUGCUGUAACUGUAACACUUCCCUGGGAGACAGGCUAGUGCAUCUGCUGUAACUGUAACACUUCCCUGGUAGACAGGCUAGUGCAUCUGCUGUAACUGUAACACUUCCCUGGGAGACAGGCUAGUGCAUCUGCUGUAACAGUAACACUUCCCUGGGAGACAGGCUAGUGCAUCUGCUGUAACUGUAACACUUCCCUGGGAGACAGGCUAGUGCAUCUGCUGUAACAGUAACACUUCCCUGGGAGACAGGCUAGAGCAUCUGCUGUAACUGGAGAUGACAGCAUGCUGUGGAGAGUCUGUCUGUGAUGGACCACAGCUUCUCCAAUUAGCUAUAGGCGGCUUCCCAUCUUACUAUAUUACCCAGGUCAAAAACAUGUGGGCUACACUGAAAGUACGUGUUACCAGCUGUAGUACGAUGAGAAGGUUCAGUAAAAACUCAUACGUAACAGAUGCUCUGGGUGAUACUUCUUUUCGUGAAUGCAUUUAUUCUUCACUGCCAACAGAAUGCUUCUACAUUGUACAACCUGAUAUAAAUGGAACCAUUGCAACUGAGGUUUGCACAACAGAUGAUUAUAUAGAUUUCACAUCCACCACCUAUAACAGAAAUGAUGGUGCCAAGGGUUUAAAUCUCUUUUUGUCCUUUCCUAAGUGUAUUCAGACCGUCUGUCCACCUUUCUAAUUCAAUAGCACCGUCCUUCAGGAAUCUCCUUUAUACCAGGCAUUAUUGAAGAAAUUGGCCUUGAGCUUGACCCACUGUAAGAAGAGGAGCGAGUUGGAGAGAAGAGAGGAGAAGAGAGGGGAGGAGAUGCACUCUAGGGGGAUAUGAGGCAACUGUAGCUGGAGGAAAAUACAAUACAAAGGCUUGGUUGGUCAUUGAUGUUUGCUUCCUCAAGGCAUGAUCCUCAUACUGAUCAGAACUCAGAGUAGUAAACAGGUUGGUCAGAAAGAUCACACGCUUAAUUAGAAAAAUGUCCUGAUUUAGUUUUUUGUAAUUAAAAGACUGUGAAUAAAAGAAUAGGAUAACAUACUUCAUGGUUAUAAUUGGUUCUAAUAUUAUGUGGUAUCUAUACAGUUAAUAACCUCCAAGGCCAUGAAGAGUAUAUAAUAUCCUUCUCAGUAGGCAUGUGACGUGCUAAAGACAUAUCUUUUUCAGUCUGGUUAGUCAGAUUAACACGUCUGUUUCAUGUCUUUUUGACGUCAUGAAAAAUAUGUCUUAUUUUGGUUGAUUUAUGGUUUAUGGUUCAAAUCUGAUUUAACUGCUGUCCGGUUAUCUAAAUGCUACUCAGUGAAUCGAAACCAAUCUAUAUAAACACGUACACAGUGUUUGGGGCCAUGCAUCCAUUGGAUAGAAGACACUAGAACCAUUACAAUUAUUACAAUUGGAGUAAUGUUCUUUUUCAGCAGGGUUCGCAUGAUUCAGCUGGCAAACAACAGCUUGCAGAGAGCACCAAAGUGGGUUAAGGUCUCAUGGCACACUGUACCCAGUCAACACGCUGGGCUCAGGUCUAUUCCGUUUGAGACUUGGGGGACUCGGCAUGGACUCGAACUUGGGGGGCCUUCAUGUGGGCCAAGCUCUUCUCGAAUCCAGCAGAAUCAUAUUACUCUGGGCUCCGGCUAAUGGUUCUCGGGCCGAGCCUAUUUCAGCUUAUCCAGCUCAACUCACUUUUUCAAGACUAGAGUCAUUUAAGGUUUUUAUCCAGCAGGUGAUGAAACCAAUUUAAAAAAACCAAGAAACAUGAUAUAUUUCACCUCCAAGUCAUCCAAUUUGUUAGGUCAUUAACAAGCAAGAAAUGUUGACAGUCUCUAUGGUCCUAUAUCUAUCAGAGAUGGUCCCUAAUUUAGAGAAUCUCUGACGCUAUAAAUGCUCUUGAUUUUAUUACAGGCUAUGGCAAUGUUUUUCCUAGUUGCAGUCCAUCCAAUUGAAAAGUGAACAUUCUAUCCAUAACAUUUGUUCUAGGCUAUCAGCAUGUAUAAUAAACAUGCACAAUAUACAGGAAACCCUUACAAAAAUUGACUGCAGUACAAUUAAAUCAUGUUUUUUUAAAUGAAUGAUAUCUGGUAGCUUGCUGUGUGUGUUUCUAACAGUAAUCUUUUGUCUGUGUUAGCUAAUUGCACUGUUUAUUGUGCAGCACAUUUUCUUCUGUUCCACUGAAUGCAAUGUUGAUGUUCUAUUGACUAACUAAAUUUGUUUUCAGAAUUUAACAAAGAACACAUAGGCCUAAGCAUUUUAUUUCAAUAUCUUACUACAAUCUACCAGGAUUUACACAACCCCAUUUAUUUCCGUCAAUAAUUAGUACAAAAUUAUUUCACCUGAAAAUAUGACAAUUAUAUUUUCCCUUAAAGCUUUUAAGCAAUUAACAUAAUGUGUGCACUAGUUUUAUUUACAUUUCAGUAGCGUAAAUAAGGAGGUAGGCAUAUCAGUUCCAACUAAAACUAGGAUUGGAAUCUGUUUUAGUUAUUUACAGGCAUAUGUUUUUCUGUCUAUCUCGCUUUCUCUCCGUCUGUCUGCCUGACUGCCAGAUUUCUGAGGGGCAACAUAGUCAAUAUACUUGCUAGGCUAAGUCUAACUUAGUGAAAGCCUCAGGUCUUCUGUAGUAGCUAGGUUAAUGAACUUAACGGUUAAUCAUGAUUCGCUUCUGUCUUUACAGUUCAUGAAACUUGUAAAUGACCUGAUACAGGUCAGCAGUCCUUGGCCACCCACUCAGUUACCAGUGAAGUAUUCUGCCACAUUCCAGGUAAAGGGGCAAAUAGAACCACCCGUCCUCAAAUCCGUAGUCAUUAACAGUAAGUUUGGUGUGCAAAAUGUUGAUCUUUAAUGUGUAUUGAAUCCUACUAACCAGCUUGGUAAGAGCUAGGUUUGUACGACCUAUGCUGAUGAUCAGUAACGUUUUUUCUCUGCAUCAGGUCUCACUGAGACUGGAUUCACCAAGAGACAUGCUAUUCAGCUGCCCAUAAGUGCCUGAUCUUAGUGUAAGUGGAUCCAAUUGAGGUAGCACCGACUCUAAUAUAAGUCUGUAAAGCAAAUCAAAUCCUAUUUCAAGGUGCAAAACCCUUGUGUUCAACAGACACCUCAAUUGGUGAGUCAUGUAAAGUUUCUCCCAUUUCACUCCUGCUCAUUUUCCUGGUCGCUCACUCAAAGUCACACACGUGUGCAGUUGCAGAGAAGAGGAAGAGAUUUGCCAAUUACACUAAGGUCUAACAAUGUUUGUUGCAGGAAUGAUAUGACAGACACACAAUUUAAAAAAUAUAUAAUAUUUUGUCUCUUUAUACAUACAUUUUUGCAUUUACCUUUUUUAUUCUAAGACUGCAAAGCUGUCCUCAAUUGGGGGAACCUCUGUCCGGGACAAUGGCCUCAGGAUUAUGGAGCGGUGUGUUUAUAAAAAGUAGUUUGAAUAUUACAACAAGUAUUAGGAUUAAGCAAAACUUGACCAUUUAGAGAUGAGUAAAAAAAUAAAAAUCAUUAUCCAACUACUGUCUAAUUUUGAUAUCCUCUUUCUUAAAUUGUUUCAGAUUGAUCACCAAUAAGUUAAUGUCCCACUUCCAUAUGAAGGGACAGAGGAGCAAAUAUGCCUUUCAUACCACUUAUGUGUGUUCCAUUAUAAUUUGUAAGUAAAUGUGAGCGGUGACAUUUGACAUAGAAUCUACUAAAAAUGUCACAUUGUCUGACUGUUAAAGAUAUUUUAGAUGUGCGUUACUGUUCUGUCGUGUCUUGCAUGCCCACAUUAUGCCAUUCGUUAAUGUAUAUUAUUCUCUUUUUAUGCUUAAAGUAAGUGUCAUGAAAAGCCAGAAAACAGGAGGUUGAUGUUUUACAGGCCCUCGGGAAAGUCCUAGAAUAUGUCCCUGACGACCGUGGUGGAGGCGGACGCAAAAUCUGACCCAUCACACCAAUCUUCAAGAGGGCCACUACUCUUAGGAAUGACGGCAAACUUCUGUGUCAAUUGAAUAUUGACUGAAUCCAGACCAGACCGUUGUCGUCACAAGAUUUACCCAGUCUUUGUUAGUUUCAAUGUCAGGAUGACGUGUUUCUUCAUGUGAAAUCCUAAUUGCAAGAGCACAGCACCUACUCAGCUCUCUUCUAUAGAAACACAUUCCAAGGAAGGCUGGGAGCUGCGAAAUACAAAGUUUGCUGAGAAGAUCAGAAAGAAACAAGCCCCUUUUGAUUCUUCUUCAAAAUUCCUCAGAUGUUCAUUCUCUGUUCCGCAGGCUGAUGCGCUUUCCUCUCUCCCGAACUUAACCUCUGGGAAACACACGAUGACCUGUGACACUCGACCUGACCAAUAGGUCCCCCUCCAGUUUUUUGACUCCAUGUGAUUGAUAAGAUCACGUGACCUGUAUGUACACGUACUAGUUAAGGAAAUUAGAAAAAACACAAAUACUGUUUGGAAAGGUCACUAGAACUACACUUCUGUUCCACUAGGGCUCAUGUGGGUGGAUUUUAUCACAAGCUUAAGUUUUAGAACUGAGCAUUUGAUUGUAUUUGGGACUGUGUUGAAUUGAGAUGCUAGAAUCCAGAAUAUUGGUAUUAUUAUUAUUUUUUAACAUUUCAUAAAUGUAUCCUAAAUGAGUUUUGUUCAGCAUCCAA